rnacentral:tRNA from 1 species
AAGAUGUUAGUAAAUAUAUUACACUGCUUUGUCAUAGCAAAAUUAUGAGUGUAACUCUCAUACAACUUA